CAGCAUCUAUCUGUAUACCUACUAAUUGUCGCACUGGUGCUGUGCGUUUAUAUGAAAGCGAACAAUUUGUACACCCCGAAACGUAAGCUUUCUAAACACAAAGUCAUCUGUAACGACGAAUUCUGCAAUAUCGUCAAACUUUCGUAUCUCGUUUUUUUGACGUUUUUAAUUUUUCAGAACGGUUUUUCACAUUGUGCCACGUCAUUUCCGUACAAUUUUACGC